rnacentral:rRNA from 1 species
UACGUAGGGUCCGAGCGUUGUCCGGAAUUAUUGGGCGUAAAGGGCUCGUAGGCGGUUUGUCGCGUCGGGAGUGAAAACCCAGGGCUUAACUCUGGGCUUGCUUUCGAUACGGGCAGACUAGAGGUAUGCAGGGGAGAACGGAAUUCCUGGUGUAGCGGUGGAAUGCGCAGAUAUCAGGAGGAACACCGGUGGCGAAGGCGGUUCUCUGGGCAUUACCUGACGCUGAGGAGCGAAAGUGUGGGGAGCGAACAGG